rnacentral:rRNA from 1 species
GACGAACGCUGGCGGCGUGGAUUAGGCAUGCAAGUCGGACGGUAGGGCUUUAUCGUAAGAUAGAGUUUGAGAGUGGCGAACGGGUGAGUAACACGUAGGAAUCUACCCUUAAGACGGGGACAACCCAGGGAAACUUGGGCUAAUACCGGAUGAGAGUGCGAGAGAUUGCAUUUAAAAGGAUGGCGAAAGUUGUCGCUUAGGGAUGAGCCUGCGGUCUAUUAGUUAGUUGGUGAGGUAAGAGCUCACCAAGGCGAUGAUAGAUAGGCGGCCUUAACGGGUGGUCGCCCACACUGGGAUUGAGAUACGGCCCAGACUCCUACGGGAGGCAGCAGUGGGGAAUAUUGCGCAAUGGGGGGAACCCUGACGCAGCAACGCCGCGUGAAGGAAGAAGGCCUUCGGGUUGUAAACCUCUUUCAGCAGGGAAGAAGCGAAAGUGACGGUACCUGCAGAAGAAGCACCGGCUAACUACGUG